rnacentral:misc_RNA from 1 species
GAUCAUUACCGAGUGCGGGUCCUUUGGGCCCAACCUCCCAUCCGUGUCUAUUAUACCCUGUUGCUUCGGCGGGCCCGCCGCUUGUCGGCCGCCGGGGGGGCGCCUUUGCCCCCCGGGCCCGUGCCCGCCGGAGACCCCAACACGAACACUGUCUGAAAGCGUGCAGUCUGAGUUGAUUGAAUGCAAUCAGUUAAAACUUUCAACAAUGGAUCUCUUGGUUCCGGCAUCGAUGAAGAACGCAGCGAAAUGCGAUAACUAAUGUGAAUUGCAGAAUUCAGUGAAUCAUCGAGUCUUUGAACGCACAUUGCGCCCCCUGGUAUUCCGGGGGGCAUGCCUGUCCGAGCGUCAUUGCUGCCCUCAAGCCCGGCUUGUGUGUUGGGUCGCCGUCCCCCUCUCCGGGGGGACGGGCCCGAAAGGCAGCGGCGGCACCGCGUCCGAUCCUCGAGCGUAUGGGGCUUUGUCACAUGCUCUGUAGGAUUGGCCGGCGCCUGCCGACGUUUUCCAACCAUUUUUUCCAGGUUGACCUCGGAUCAGGUAGGGAUACC